rnacentral:rRNA from 1 species
UACGAAGGGGGCGAGCGUUGUUCGGAUUGACUGGGCGUAAAGGGCGCGUAGGCGGCGCUGGAAGUCGAGUGUGAAAGCCCCGGGCUCAACCUGGGAAUGGCGCUCGAUACUCUUGUGCUUGAGUUCGGGAGAGGAGCGUGGAAUUCCCAGUGUAGAGGUGAAAUUCGUAGAUAUUGGGAAGAACACCGGUGGCGAAGGCGGCGCUCUGGACCGAGACUGACGCUGAGGCGCGAAAGCGUGGGGAGCAAACAGG